UACGUAGGUGACAAGCGUUGUCCGGAUUUACUGGGCGUAAAGAGCGCGCAGGCGGUCGAUCAAGUCGAGUGUGAAAGCCCCCGGCUCAACUGGGGAGGGUCAUUCGAUACUGAUCGACUCGAAGGCAGGAGAGGGUAGUGGAAUUCCCGGUGUAGUGGUGAAAUGCGUAGAUAUCGGGAGGAACACCAGUGGCGAAGGCGACUACCUGGCCUGUUUCUGACGCUAAGACGCGAAAGCGUGGGGAGCAAACAGG
rnacentral:rRNA from 1 species